AGUAGCACUUCCUCUAAGAGACACUAUAAACUUCAACCUGAACACAAGUUUAACCUGAACACAGUUCAACAAGCUGAAGAAUGAAGACACUGCUGCUGUCUCUGCUCUGUCUGUGUGUGUGGAGUCAGUCCACAGAAGCUUUAACUGAUCAGCAGGUGAUUUUAGGACACAAUGUGACUUUAGCCUGUGAGUUUAAAUGUAAAGCCGCUAUAUGGUUUUUGAUGAAACUGCCAGCUCGUCCAAUGAUGAUAAUGCGAACAUUCGGAUCUGAAGAGACUGAUUAUUACGAUGAAAAAUUCCGGAACAAAUAUUUAGAGGGAGACAGGAGCGAAAUGAUAAUCAAUAAUGUCAGUGUUGAUGAUUUGGGAAUUUAUUACUGUAUAAAAGCAGGCUGGGCUUUAAAGAUCAGUGACGGUAUCAGACUGCACACCGCUGAAGUCUGACAUGAACUUCAGUGAGUAUGACUGAGGAAUAACAUCCAUUAAGACCAGCAGCACUGACAGAUCCUGAAUAUCUACAAGUUCAGCCAAACUCUGUACAAAAACACUUCUUACUGAGAGAUUGUGUUGAUUUAUCGCUGUUUGCUUCAAAUGAUCAGAACUGAGAGAUGCUUGUAAUGAAAUUAUGAUUCCCAAAGACUUUAAAAAAAUGAUUUGCUCUUGUCUGUUCAUAAUAAAACAUUUGC